rnacentral:rRNA from 1 species
CACGUAGGAGGCGAGCGUUAUCCGGAUUUACUGGGCGUAAAGCGCGUGUAGGCGGUUUGGUAAGUUGGAUGUGAAAGCUCCCGGCUUAACUGGGAGAGGUCGUUCAAUACUACCAGACUUGAGAGUGGUAGAGGAAGGUGGAAUUCCGCGUGUAGUGGUGAAAUGCGUAGAUAUGCGGAGGAACACCAGUGGCGAAAGCGGCCUUCUGGCCCACUUCUGACGCUCAGACGCGAAAGCUAGGGGAGCAAACGGG